UGUGUACACCCCUUUCACGGUUCAUCUAAAACAAAACCAGACAGAGGCAUCACACCAGUUUUGAGCCGGGAACUUUGGUUGCGCCAACAGUUGUCAGUUCCGAUAGGUGAAGCUGUAUGCAGAACAUGUGUAUCUAAACACAAGGAAGAUCUCAGUCUUGGUGAACAAGUUGUGGAAGAAAUAAAAGACAGAGUUCAGCAGCUGACCACAUCAACUAAUGCCUCAUUACCUCCACCUAACUUUAGAGACCUCAC